AGCGAACGCUGGCGGCAGGCCUAACACAUGCAAGUCGAACGGACCCUUCGGGGUUAGUGGCGGACGGGUGAGUAACACGUGGGAACGUGCCCUUUGGUCCGGAACAACUCAGGGAAACUUGAGCUAAUACCGAAUGUGCCCUUUGGGGGAAAGAUUUAUCGCCAUUGGAGCGGCCCGCGUCUGAUUAGCUAGUUGGUGGGGGUAAUGGCCUACCAAGGCUACGAUCAGUAGCUGGUCUGAGAGGAUGAUCAGCCACAUUGGGACUGAGACACGGCCCAAACUCCUACGGGAGGCAGCAGUGGGGAAUCUUGCGCAAUGGGCGAAAGCCUGACGCAGCCAUGCCGCGUGAAUGAUGAAGGUCUUAGGAUUGUAAAACUCUUUCACCGGGGACGAUAAUGACGGUACCCGGAGAAGAAGCCCCGGCUAACUUCGUGCCAGCCGCCGCCGUAAGAC
rnacentral:rRNA from 1 species